GAGGAAAUAUACAAACCAACUUUGCUUGAGGGAGAUAUUACAUUGUUAUCACUGUCCCAUCAAGAUGCUUAAAUGAAAUGUUUGUAGCUGAUUCUUUCCACAGAGCUCCCAGACCUUAAGGAUCACGGACUAUAACCUGGAGAAUUUACUUAUUAAAAGAGUCAUCAAAUGAAAGACUUUUUGCAGCCUGUUGGAAAAGACCAUACCAGGGUGAGAAGAGGAUGGCAUCUGUGUAGACAGCUGUCCAAAGACUCCAGACCAGGCCUGUAUUCCCAACAGUUCAUAGAAGAACAGAGCCAGCGGAGAAAGAAUCAACAGAGGGACAACACAAGAAGAAAUGCAAAGACUACUCCUGGGUGAGGCCGGGAAGAAGACGUCAAGUCUGGGAUGGCAGCUCCUGGAUCCCAAAACUGUAGAGUCACGAUGACUGCAGGUGGUGUCCAGGUGAGUGGGCCUGAGCGUAGCCUGAGGAUGUCCCGGGAGCCCCAGCCACUGCUGGGAGAGCAGCCUGAUUACUCAUGUCCACUGGGGAAGCUGGCUGAAAGGAAGUAGCCAGUGAGCCCACAGCUGUCUUGGAGCUGGGAUUGCGAAGGUUGUCAUGUGUACAUAUGCAAUCUGCACAUCAUAUUCAGGGGAGCUGGAUCGAGGUUAUAGAGUGGGCUGUAUGGUCAGGGAUUUGAUGGGGGUACAGACAUCUUGAGUGACUACACGAAAGGCUGACCACACCUAAGGACCAAAUGUAGGAGUCACAUCUCAGAGGAAGCCAACAUCCAGAUGGUCAUCUACACUAGGCAUUGCUCCC
rnacentral:lncRNA from 1 species